CACCUCUCAGAGUCGCCCCUGGAGAGUUUUCAGGCCUCUACCAGUCUGGGCUCUGGGAGGGAGAGUCAAGCAGAGGCCUACCCAUUCCAUUCCUAGCUUGGCCAGUGGCUAAUGAGUGGAGGGCAAUCUGCUACAAAU
rfam:Ornithorhynchus anatinus chromosome 4, whole genome shotgun sequence.